rnacentral:misc_RNA from 1 species
ACAAAUCAGCAUAGGACCGCAAGGUCCUAUAUACACCCCAAGCCUGUGAAGGGUAUCCACCUGGAUCGGCUUUGGUUGCAGCCCUUGGGCUGUAGGCUAGGCUGUCGCAAGACAGUCGAGCCACAUAGACGCUUGUAUGUUUGACAGAGUUCAGUUGCUUAUAAAAGAUA